rnacentral:rRNA from 1 species
UGGGGAAUUUUGGACAAUUGGGCGAAAGCCUGAUCCAGCAAUGCCGCGUGUGUGAAGAAGGCCUUCGGGUUGUAAAGCACUUUUGUCCGGAAAGAAAUCCUUGGCUCUAAUACAGUCGGGGGAUGACGGUACCGGAAGAAUAAGCACCGGCUAACUACGUGCCAGCAGCCGCGGUAAUACGUAGGGUGCAAGCGUUAAUCGGAAUUACUGGGCGUAAAGCGUGCGCAGGCGGUUUGCUAAGACCGAUGUGAAAUCCCCGGGCUCAACCUGGGAACUGCAUUGGUGACUGGCAGGCUAGAGUAUGGCAGAGGGGGGUAGAAUUCCACGUGUAGCAGUGAAAUGCGUAGAGAUGUGGAGGAAUACCGAUGGCGAAGGCAGCCCCCUGGGCAAUACUGACGCUCAUGCACGAAAGCGUGGGGAGCAAACAGGAUUAGAUACCCUGGUAGUCCACGCCCUAAACGAUGUCAACUAGUUGUUGGGGAUUCAUUUCCUUAGUAACGUAGCUAACGCGUGAAGUUGACCGCCUGGGGAGUACGGUCGCAAGAUUAAAACUUAAAUGAAUUGACGGGGUCAUAGCUGUUUCCU